rnacentral:rRNA from 1 species
CGCUGGCGGCAUGCCUUACACAUGCAAGUCGAACGGCAGCGCGGGGCAACCUGGCGGCGAGUGGCGAACGGGUGAGUAAUAUAUCGGAACGUACCCUGGAGUGGGGGAUAACGUAGCGAAAGUUACGCUAAUACCGCAUACGAUCUAAGGAUGAAAGUGGGGGAUCGCAAGACCUCAUGCUCCUGGAGCGGCCGAUAUCUGAUUAGCUAGUUGGUAGGGUAAAAGCCUACCAAGGCAUCGAUCAGUAGCUGGUCUGAGAGGACGACCAGCCACACUGGAACUGAGACACGGUCCAGACUCCUACGGGAGGCAGCAGUGGGGAAUUUUGGACAAUGGGCGCAAGCCUGAUCCAGCAAUGCCGCGUGAGUGAAGAAGGCCUUCGGGUUGUAAAGCUCUUUUGUCAGGGAAGAAACGGUGUUUUCUAAUACAGAACGCUAAUGACGGUACCUGAAGAAUAAGCACCGGCU